rnacentral:lncRNA from 1 species
AAGAAUGUGCCUGGAACUUUCCGACCAAUGGCCUGGUUGCCUGGGCUCCCAACGGUCUUCAAAGUCUGUGGCAUCAUCAUGGCCGUCAUAAGCAGCAGCAUUGCUGUGGACCGUCCUGCUACCCGCGUCCAUCCUCCCGAUUGUCCAUGAUGUCUGCUAACAGUGAGAACUCUCCACUUUCAACCAUGCCGUCCUCCUAAUCGGGCCUGCCCCCCACUCCAGCCAGGCGGUACCGCCCCAGGUGCUGAGAGUUGGUCACCUGCUGACCAUUGGCGGAGCCAAGUGAUCCUUCCCCUCCAUUGCCCCUCCCACUUGACUUGCCCCUCCAUUUCCCCUGUCCCUUUCCUCAUUCUUUCCCCUUUCUAACCUCUUCCCUCACCCCUGCCUCCCCCUUUCCUCACCCUUCCCCUUCCCUGCCUCCUCUCAUUCCUCCCUUGCCGAAUCCCUUAUCCCUCCCCACGAUCUUGCCUUACCUCAUGAUUCUGUAGCUCGACCUCCCCUCAGGGGGGAGAAAUAACUCCUCUUACACUGAGCACAACCUUUCUCCCCACAGGACCAAAGGUGCCCCCCCUCUAUCCUAUGCCUGUCGUCUUUGUGAUGCUGCAUUUUCUCUUCAUGCUCCUCCUGCAUUUCCUACCCUUCCUUCUCUUUCCUCUACUUUUGUUACUAGUCUUCUUCCCCUUCUGGCCCGAGACUCUGAGGAAGGAAAAGGAAGCAAAGGAGGAAAACUAGUCUGGAGCAUCUUUAGGUGCAGUUGUUUCCAAAUGGAUGUUCUGCCUGGGCAUUGAAACUAUUAAUAAUAUGUAACCUGCCAAUGGAGAUGAGAUGUUCUGUCCUUGGGAAAGAAUAAUUCAAUUGAAUUAAGACCACCGCAGUCAGAGGGGAUUUAGUUUAAAUAAUGGGUUUUCCUUCAAAUGUUAAUGACAUCACAUUGUUUAUUACAUUGUUGUGUUUCAAAAUGUUCUUAUAUUGGAGAAUGCCGUCAAUUGGAAACAUUGGUAAAAUUUUAUAAGCUCUGUUGUUACAAAAGCAAUCUAGAUGUUGUUAGGUUAAGAAAUGGACUGUAACAAUGUGCUUGAUGCUCUAAAGUAGUCUAAGAAUUUAUACACUUGCACUUAUGCUUAUGAAUAAAGAGAAAUUUUACCUUGA